GAGUUUGAUCCUGGCUCAGAUUGAACGCUGGCGGCAUGCCUUACACAUGCAAGUCGAACGGUAACAGGUCUUCGGAUGCUGACGAGUGGCGAACGGGUGAGUAAUACAUCGGAACGUGCCCGAUCGUGGGGGAUAACGGAGCGAAAGCUUUGCUAAUACCGCAUACGAUCUACGGAUGAAAGCAGGGGACCGCAAGGCCUUGCGCGGACGGAGCGGCCGAUGGCAGAUUAGGUAGUUGGUGGGAUAAAAGCUUACCAAGCCGACGAUCUGUAGCUGGUCUGAGAGGACGACCAGCCACACUGGGACUGAGACACGGCCCAGACUCCUACGGGAGGCAGCAGUGGGGAAUUUUGGACAAUGGGCGAAAGCCUGAUCCAGCCAUGCCGCGUGCAGGAUGAAGGCCUUCGGGUUGUAAACUGCUUUUGUACGGAACGAAAAGACUCUGGUUAAUACCUGGGUCCAUGACGGUACCGUAAGAAUAAGC
rnacentral:rRNA from 1 species